rnacentral:tRNA from 1 species
UUGGGCUAUGGCUCAGUGGUAGAGCAUCUGCGUGGAAUGCAGAAGAUCCCAGGCUCAAUUUCUGACAUCCUUAGCUAAA